UACGUAGGGUGCAAGCGUUGUCCGGAAUUAUUGGGCGUAAAGAGCUCGUAGGCGGUCUGUCGCGUCUGCUGUGAAAACUCAGGGCUUAACCCUGAGCUUGCAGUGGGGUACGGGCAGACUAGAGUGCGGUAGGGGAGACUGGAAUUCCUGGUGUAGCGGUGAAAUGCGCAGAUAUCAAGGGAGGGAACACCGGUGGGCGAAGGCGGGUCUCUGGGCCGUAACUGACG
rnacentral:rRNA from 1 species